AGAAAAUAGAUGGAAGCCCAAGAUGUUCUUUCUUGUUGAUUGAAAAGAUGUUAUCUUUAAUGAACUGAUGGGCUCAAAUCCACUUUUCCUCCCAGUUAAACCAUGUAGCUGGUUUUUUUCUUGCAUAUCUAAUACAUCAGAAUGGGGCAAAGGUGUUUUCUUUGCUUUUUCUUUUGCUCUCCUUUAAUCCUCUUCCUCCCAGCUAAAUGAAGGACAGCAGUACCUCAGAAACAAGGGAGAGUGCUGCAGAGCUGUGUUACUACUAUGAAAUUUGAAGUAAACUGCUUAAAAGAGAUUUAAAUCAGGAUUGUAAUUUGUUAAAGGUCCUGCAGAGGUAUUUCCUGAACUGGGGAAGAAAGAGAAGAUGACAGAGGGAGGUGGUGAUCUGUGUCACGUCAGCUCAGCUGAGCGUUCCCAGCGUGCUGCGCGAGGUUCCGAGAGCACAGCUUCAGUGAGAGUCUGCUCGCCAGAUCAUCAGUUUAAGAAUUACUUCCAUGUGCCACGGGAAUACAGCCCCUUCUGGAGUAAGACAGACCAGCCACUUACAGAAACUGAAGUAGUAUGUGUUGGCCAACUGAGAUGACAGAGGAACGAGAUGCUGUGGAAGGCACGAAUGUCAAGAGUUCAGCAGAAACCCUCCAGGGAGCAGCAGCAUUCUGGGCCUUACAAUGGUCUGCUCCUGCCCCCACAAGUACCUGAAGUUUUUCCCUUACAAAUUAUUUCCUAUCCAUGUUUCUUUUCAUUUUCCCUUUCUUCUGUGCAGCUUAUUCAUUUAUUUUCAUCUCCUGUUAUAAUCUUCUUAGCCCUUCAAGUAUGCUGUCUGUGCCCUCUAAAGGAGUGGUUCAUUCAGAGAGCCUGCAGUUUAUUAAAACCAACAGGGCCUGUUCCUCAGGCUGACUUUUGCUGGCAUCUGCGUGCCCUUGAUUCACUCUGAGAGUUCUGGGUGCCCAUGACUGAGUUCACUCUAAACUUGUUACAAUGUCAUUAAUGGCUCAAAUGCCUUGAGAAUAUUUCAGGACGUGAGCCUGGUGCCUGUGCAGAAAAAGAAAUGCUUCCAUCACACUCACUACAGGCCUCUGGCUCUGGAUGGGUGAUGCAGAACCAGAAAGAGCAGCUUGCCUGAAAUUGCACAGCAUGUGUCAGAAAAAGAACAGGAUGCUGGCAAUGUCAGGGAAGGAAGGGGACCCUGGCUCCCCAUGGCAGAACUGAAGUUCUGAGAGUGAAGCAGGAAGGGAAGCUGUUCCUCAGAACUGGGAACAGCACGUGAUGCUGCCCUCGAUCACCAAAAGCACGGUCCAGGAAAGGAACUGGCAGCGUGCAUUCCUUGUGUCCAGGGCCUCCCCUGGGGCUCAUGGUGGCCAGGUUACAGUGCAGUUUGUUGGCUUGCAUGCCUUUGUAAAUACUGAGCACACAGAUAACCCUCUGCACAUUGCUUGAAGAGCUCAAAUUAUUAAUUCACCUUCUCACUCUGCUUUACUCUGGAAAAGACAAACACAUCACAACUGGCAGGGUAUCUCCUCUUGUUAUCCUUCCUUCUUGUUCUGGCAGAGACCCAAAUACACCAGUUGGAAGAUGAAGAGAAGAACCUUUAAUGUUACAAUUUAAUGUUACAAAACUGACCAAGUUACUCUGUGCUCUGGUUUGAGCCUGAGUCAGGCACAAACUCAGAUCUGCUAUAACUGAACAGACCUCUGCAAGCCAACCAUGUGGGGUGUGACAAAGGCAGCAAAUGCCAAGCAAACAUUGCCUUCAGCUAAGAGGGUACAACAGUUUCCUCUAACACUGGUUCUGCCUUUCUCAUGUAGCCCAGAAAAUGAGAUCUGUGCUCGAGACCAUGACAAGAUCAAUCCCUGUUCAAGCUUUGGUGUGUAUGUUUUGUAUUUGUAAGGUAGAACAUCUGACUGUGAGUUACUGCACAAUAAACCUACCUCUUCAUUUGUAUCUAAGUGGGGACUCUGUGCCAUUUUUACAGCAGCAUAUUUAAUAAGUAAAAAAUAUCAGAACUUCAUUAAAAAUAAAUGUCUUUCAUUCUGGGAAGUCUUUAGUUUGAAUGCCCAUUUUCAAACAUUACAUCUGAAAAUAUUCAAGUACUGCAGUGGGUCACUUACUACAAAUUUGAUUUGAAGAUCAGCCUACAAGUCUCAUAAACAGUCUCAUAAAGAUGUAACUAUCAUAAUAACUUUCCAUUUUCCAGUUGCAAAUGUAAGAUGAACUGUUCUGAAGCACCUAAUGUAUGACUAAUGUUUAUUUGUUUUACAAGAAGCUUUACAGCUGCAAUGUUCCAAAAAUGCUUAAAUUCAAUAAACAGCUAUUAUAAUUCA